rnacentral:rRNA from 1 species
CCUACGGGAGGCAGCAGUAGGGAAUCUUUCACAAUGGGCGAAAGCCUGAUGGAGCAACGCCGCGUGCAGGAUGAAGGCCUUCGGGUUGUAAACUGCUUUUAUAAGCGAGAAAUAUGAUGGUAACUUAUGAAUAAGGAUCGGCUAACUACGUGCCAGCAGCCGCGGUCAUACGUAGGAUCCGAGCAUUAUCCGGAGUGACUGGGUGUAAAGAGUUGCGUAGGUGGCAUAAUAAGUAGCUAGUGAAAUCUGGUGGCUCAACCAUUCAGACUAUUAGCUAAACUGUUAAGCUCGAGACCGUUAGGGGUAACUGGUAUUUCUAGUGUAGGAGUGAAAUCCGUAGAUAUUAUAAGGAACACCAAUAGCGUAGGCAGGUUGCUGGGACGGUUCUGACACUAAGGCACGAAAGCGUAGGGAGCAAACGGGAUUAGAUACCCGAGUAGUC